UGAAAGAUUCAUCGGUGGCGGAUAGGCUCGCGGGACAUUAGCUAGACGGCGGGGCAACGGCCCACCGUGGCGACGAUGUCUAGGGGUUCUGAGAGGAAGACCCCCCACACUGGGACUGAGACACGGCCCAGACUCCUACGGGAGGCAGCAGUGAGGAAUAUUGGUCAAUGGGCGGAAGCCUGAACCAGCCAUGCCGCGUGAAGGGCUAAGGCCCUACGGGUCGUAAACUUCUUUAGACGCAGAGCAAUAAGGUCCACGAGUGGACCGAUGAGAGUAUGCGUAGAAUAAGCAUCGGCUAACUCCGUGCCAGCAGCCGCGGUAAUACGGGGGAUGCGAGCGUUAUCCGGAUUCAUUGGGUUUAAAGGGUGCGUAGGCGGCCGAGUAAGUCAGCGGUGAAAGACCGGGGCUCAACCCUGGAAGUGCCGUUGAUACUGUUUGGCUGGAAUGAUCCCGCCGCGGGAGGAAUGAGUGGUGUAGCGGUGAAAUGCAUAGAUAUCACUCAGAACACCGAUUGCGAAGGCAUCUCGCGAGGGGUCAAUUGACGCUGAGGCACGAAAGCGUGGGGAUCGAACAGGAUUAGAUACCCUGGUAGUCCACGCGGUAAACGAUGAUGGCUAACUGUCGGGCCUGCGGGUUCGGCGGC
rnacentral:rRNA from 1 species